UGGGUUGUGGCUCAGCGGUAGAGCACUCGCCUAGCACAUGCGAGGCCCUGGGUUUGAUCCUCAGCACCACAU
rnacentral:tRNA from 1 species